rnacentral:rRNA from 1 species
GUCGAGCGGCAGCGGGAAGUAGCUUGCUACUUUGCCGGCGAGCGGCGGACGGGUGAGUAAUGUCUGGGAAACUGCCUGAUGGAGGGGGAUAACUACUGGAAACGGUAGCUAAUACCGCAUGACCUCGAAAGAGCAAAGUGGGGGAUCUUCGGACCUCACGCCAUCGGAUGUGCCCAGAUGGGAUUAGCUAGUAGGUGAGGUAAUGGCUCACCUAGGCGACGAUCCCUAGCUGGUCUGAGAGGAUGACCAGCCACACUGGAACUGAGACACGGUCCAGACUCCUACGGGAGGCAGCAGUGGGGAAUAUUGCACAAUGGGCGCAAGCCUGAUGCAGCCAUGCCGCGUGUGUGAAGAAGGCCUUAGGGUUGUAAAGCACUUUCAGCGAGGAGGAAGGCAUCACACUUAAUACGUGUGGUGAUUGACGUUACUCGCAGAAGAAGCACCGGCUAACUCCGUGCCAGCAGCCGCGGUAAUACGGAGGGUGCAAGCGUUAAUCGGAAUUACUGGGCGUAAAGCGCACGCAGGCGGUUUGUUAAGUCAGAUGUGAAAUCCCCGAGCUUAACUUGGGAACUGCAUUUGAAACUGGCAAGCUAGAGUCUUGUAGA